rnacentral:tRNA from 1 species
AUAUAGUUUGUUUAUUGAAUAUUAAGUUGCAAAUUUAAAGGAAUAUAGAUCUAAUUUUUUU